CACAGAAUUGCAAGGGAGAGAGCGGCAGACACGCAAUUGAAAACCCUAGCUCCACGUUCCACCGCCUCGACACCGCACUGUUGUGUUACCGUCACCGUCAAUGUUUCAACUUCAACGGUGGCAGCGGCAAGAAGGGAUUUGAGGGUUGGACACUGAUUUUGGUUUUCUCCUAGCGCAAACCCUCAUCAAUACAUCAAAUCUGAGAGAGGGAGAGAGAGAAAUAGACGAAGAUGAGAGAGGAAGAGAGAGAGAGAGUGGAAUCGGAAUUGGUCUUCCGGCUAUAGGGUUUGGAUUAUGAGUUACGGACUAACCUUCGUCGUCUCAACUCUCAGAGACCAGGUGUUCUAUAAAAUACCAAUGAGAUGAAUUGAUAUGGUUUUGUCUUGAAACACUUGGGUAUCCAGUUAUGGAAGCUAAGAAUAGUCAUUGACUGCAAUUUGCAAGUGGUUGUCGACUCUGGUCGGAGGAGCCGGAUUUGAAAAGGUUGCAGCUUACAUUGUCUCUUCUGAAGCAAUGGCGGAGACAAAUGAGUGCUUAAUUUGGUCGAUUUUGUAUACAGAUGAAGGUUUAUACAUGUGCAAGUGAAUGUGUAUUGGCUAAAUACAUUUCGUUCUCUAAUGCAAAACUUCCAGCAACAUCGGCUACAGUGAAGCUAAUGCCGUCUACUGGCUAUACGAAGUCGACCCAACAAUCAUCAAGGCUCUAGCGAAUUCCAAAAGGCGGUUCUCCAUUUACAAUAAAUAAAAAUAUUAUCCUAGACGAGAGUUUAGCCUAAUCAGUGAGUAAAUCGAUACUAUAUAAGGGUAUAAGACCAUACCCUUGCUGCCAUUAUUUAUUUUUAUCAUAUUUUUGUCACUUGCAUACAUAAUACACCUUAUGGAUAAAUUUUUGUU
rnacentral:lncRNA from 1 species